CAUAACCUUAACUACCCCU
rnacentral:misc_RNA from 1 species